AGCGGCGGACGGGUGAGUAACGCGUGGGAACGUACCCUCUUCUGCGGAAUAGCCACUGGAAACGGUGAGUAAUACCGCAUACGCCCUUCGGGGGAAAGAUUUAUCGGUGAAGGAUCGGCCCGCGUUAGAUUAGAUAGUUGGUGGGGUAACGGCCUACCAAGUCUACGAUCUAUAGCUGGUUUUAGAGGAUGAUCAGCAACACUGGGACUGAGACACGGCCC
rnacentral:rRNA from 1 species